UCACAAGGGGAGCUUGUAUUACAGGCUGAGAGGAAGUUGCGAACUUCGACCCAUAACCUGAUUUGGAUAAUGCCAACGUAGGGAUGUGUUA
rnacentral:ncRNA from 1 species